rnacentral:rRNA from 1 species
UACGUAGGGGGCAAGCGUUAUCCGGAAUUACUGGGUGUAAAGGGAGCGUAGACGGUUAAGUAAGUCUGGAGUGAAAGGCCGGGGCCCAACCCCGGGACUGCUCUGGAAACUAUUCAACUUGAGUGCAGGAGAGGUAAGCGGAAUUCCUAGUGUAGCGGUGAAAUGCGUAGAUAUUAGGAGGAACACCAGUGGCGAAGGCGGCUUACUGGACUGUAACUGACGUUGAGGCUCGAAAGCGUGGGGAGCAAACAGG